GCUUCCCAGACAGGGAUUCGCACAGCCUCAUCAUGGCAAAUGUAUGUCAUUCUCCUGCUGUCUUUUCUACUGGUGCUGGGAAUAGCUACAAUCGCUGGAUUGUCUGUCCAAAAUAGAAGGGUUAGUAUUACAAAUAUUUAAAGAUAUCCUUCAUCUUUUCUAAAUUAAAUGUCUAUGUCACCCUUUGGUUUCCUUUUCCUCAUUACCUAUCCCUCUGAAUCUUUUCUAUCUAUCUUACUUUCUCUCUAUCUUAACUGCCCAGCUCCUUGUUUGUUUUUUAACGUAUACUCUCUGCAUACUUGCUUACCACCUUUAUCCUCAUAUCACAUCUAUAUCCUCCACCUUACGGGAGCACUCUGGGCACCAUAACAACUUCAUCGGGAUGACGAUAUUAUGGUGCGAGUAGGACCUCAGGCGCCAGCUUAUCUCAAGUGGCUAAAGUGUUAACAAAUCAAGUCUUGAAUCCGGUGCCUACCAGCUCUGCCCAGCUACUUACGUUUCAGUCCUAAGCUUGAAUCAGGAAGCCUUGGACUGGGAUCCAUCCCAUUAACAUAUUAAAACACUCUCAGCCCAUAAAUGGCUUCUAGUUUCAGGAUUCUGAUAAAAGCUUCAAACUGCAGUGGAAGUAGCUGGGCAGAGUUGAUCGGUGCCAGAUUCAAGACUUUGGGAUUAAACCAUUAGCCAUGGUUUAAUUCCUUGAAGUAAUAUUGCAUCCAGGGACCUCCUCACACCAUAUCAAGUUAAUUCUGAAUAAGUUGUUAUGGUGCCCGGAUUGUCGCUUUAACUUACCCUUGUCUUUACUCUCCAACUAACCAUCUCCACGCCUUUCCAUUAUAUUUAAAUUCUUCUGCAUUUCUACUGUCCAUCUUAUCUCUGCAUCUUUACUUUCAGAUUGCCUUCUCUGUGUCUCUACUAGGCACCUAACUCUCUCUGUGUCUGUAAUCUUUUAAUAUACGAUCCGUGUUUCUGCUUUCCAAAUGAUCUUAUCCACAUAUUUACUCUCCACCUUACCCUCUUCCCAACAUCAUUCUUUCCCAUACGAUCUCUGCAUCAUUUUGCGGUACCUUGCAAUCUUUGCAUUUAUACUUUCUUUUUGUUUCUGUUUCCGUUUCACUCUCCCUUUUCCACAAAGUUCUCUUUGCAUUUUGUUUCAAUUAAUUUUUUCUGCUCAUUUGUCUUUGAGUCAUUACUCUUUUUAUUACCCAUGCUUCUCAUUGACUCAUCUUCUCUAAAUCUCUACCAUCUUUCUUUAUCUUUAGAGGCGGCUCUUGAACCUAGCUGCUCUUACAUCAAUGGAUCGCCCCUGUGUGCCUGCCAAAAAAAGUCUCAGCUUGUGAUAUGACGUCAUCCACAGCUCUGGGCUUUGUCAUGCCACCCGAAUAUGCCUGAUAAUAAAUGAAUGUGUAAAAGAGAAUCAUCUCCUGCUAAUGCCCAUCAAUAAAUGCCUGAGUGUAUGAGAUAGCAUUAUCCUGCGCGUAGCUAUGCUCAGUCAUUUGUAUUAUGAUGUGUGUUUUAUCAGUGCAGGUAAAUGCUGAAGCCACAGCAUUGAUUCAGGUGUGGGUCAGUGUCUCCAUGCUAAAAGGGCCCAAGAUACUGGUCAUAAACAGAUUUAUUGGGUUAUUAUCAUGCUACUUGUUCUAUAUUAAAUUUUGUAUAUAUUGUGUAUUAAUAUUGUUUUUGUAUUUUAUUGUACCCUAUUUUAUCAUUGUAAUGUUUUGUGGACCCGGGACAUACUUGAAAACGAGAGAAGUCUCAAUGUAGUUUUCCUAGUAAAACAUUUUAUAAAUAAAUAAAUAAUGCAGAAGCUGUGCAAUGGGAACGGACAGGAUACAGAACCAAGUUGAUAGAAGUGCUCGAUUCAGUGAGAACAAUAAAGAUUUGGGAAUCACUGCAUUGAGAGAAGUAGCCUAAAAGGGAGUGCUUCCGUUGCAUUAAAGUCUGAGCUGCAGUGUGGUCCUUUGGGCUCUUUAGAAGACAUUCAGUAUCCUCAAUCACAGAGACUUCCGUUUGGCCCUUGGUUUAAAGUGAGUAUACUCAAUGGUGGAGGACUUGGAGCCAUGGGAUCUCCUUAGAAUGUCUUCACCAUGGAGUCCACCUUUAUAGUCCUAUACUACCUACCCAUAGUGUGCGGUGAAUAAUCUUCAUGUAGAUCUCUGUUUAAUCUAAGCAUCAUACAUGUCAUUAAAUACUGCCAAGUUUUAUAGGUGCCUUUUUUAAAAAGUCGCAAAAAGGAAAUUUGUCAUCUUUG
rnacentral:lncRNA from 1 species